GUAAUAAUGAGCCAUUGUUCUAUUCAUCAUGACCUCAUAGAGCCUUUUCUUUUUCUCAGGUCUCAUUUACUUCCUCUUUUUUUUUUCCUUUUCCUUUUCCUAUACCUUCCUUUGGUCCUUAUAAGUAUCCAAAUUGCCCUAAAAUAACUUCUGCACAUGCAGCAUUAGGAAGCAGUGUUUCCCAACCACUACAUUUGAAUGAUUCAUUCCUCUGAGGACCCUCAAGUACUUCAGAAGAACUAAAAAAUGAAUAUCACGUUACACCAAAGAAGAAAUGAAAGCUGCCAGUGUCUUCUGAAGUUAAACAGGCUCCUGUUCUUUGACCCAGCAAUCCAAUCCUAGGUAUUUAAUUGUUCCCUGAGGUUUAAGGCAGUGGACUGAGGAUAAUACAGGCUCCAGCUUUCAUUAGUUCAAUGGAUGAUGCUGUUCAAUCCAUACUGUUUGGGGCAUUUGUUGAAAAUGUCAUUCAGAAGAUAUCAACACUUUCUGAGUCAUGGUUUGAUUGAAUUUAUAGAAUUAUGUGAUAGAAACCACAUUCUUCACAAAAGUCACAAGGCAAUAAUGACGACAAGGGUUGAAGAUGAAAGAUGCCAAAUAUUCUGAUCAAUUCAAUAAGGCAAAAAGACAAGUUAAUUCACUCAGUGCUCCAGGCAUCAACUUCAUAGAAGGAAUGGAAAUUCUACCUGUUUCCUAAAGAACUACAGAGGACUCCAACUAAGCCACUAUGCUGGGAGCAGAGAUGGGGAAGAAUUGCUGAGUCAUGAUAAGAGAAGGCACUAUAGGAAGAAACAGUGAACUCUUAACAGCUGGGCAAGCAAUGAGUCAGCCUGGGUGGUCACUCCAGAUGCUCCCGGACACAUCCCAAUUUCUAGGAUGCCUUGCUUGUUGUUCUUGUCAUGGUCUAAACCAGCUUACCCCACUGCCACAUUUAUCCAUCAGCCUAUGGGAAAAGGGAAAAAGGAUGUGGAAGUGAAGUGAUCUUUAAAAGCCAAGGAAAGGAAGACAGGAAAAAUGAAGAUAAAUCCCAAAAGAUCAAUAUUUACUUUUAGUCUGCAUUUAAGUGUGCAUCGUUGAGAGAAUCCACGGCAACUUUUAUUAAAGAUAGAAGUUGUACUUGCCAACACAUCAACAAUUUAUGUUUAGAAACAAGAUACUCAAUCUCAAGUUAUCUUCCCUCUGAAAAUCAGAGAUCACUUCCAAUUCUCCUUAAGCUCUUAUGCAAGUUCUUCCAGCUGGAUCUAGAAACCAAAUUGACACCAGGCAGAUUAACAAGAGAAAACAUACAAAUCUUAUUCAUUUUACAUGUACGUGGGGAUCUUCACAAGAAAGAAAAUUAAAAAGUGGCCAAAGCAAGAUGCUUUUAUGCUUUUUAGACAAAGAAUGAUAAAUUUGAGAAGAAAUGUCAAGACAAAGAAAAUCUGGCUAGGAGUAGUACAUUUCUAGGGGAGUCAGUAGGAGAUAUAUUGGGGGACAUGUAAAACUAGUGAAAGAUAAGAGUUACUUCAUUAAGCAUAUUUAUCCAGAUCCAUUACAGUUCUCAAUUCCCAGUGUCUCAUGAUAAGGGCCAUCUUCUCACCCUGGUACAGAGAGAGUACCCCUCCCAGAGGAACGUUUAUGGCUUGCUGCAUGCAGGAAGAGACAGGUCAGCUAGCCUUUUCUAAACUACAAUUUCUCCAAUGUUUUCAACUCAAAAUAAUCAAUACACCAAUUCAGCAUGUUGUGGGAUGGCACAUCCUUCCCUCCUUUAAUAUCUAAGUUAAUAUUGAUGAUUUUGUAUAUUAAGAAGGUCCCAAAAUCGAAUGAGCUAUGGGCACCACAAAGCCAAGAUCUGCUCCUUAGGAGGGGUGUACUGGUACUGAAGAAGCAAGGAAACUCAAAAAUUGUGCUGCGAUCAAAACAUCAGAAGGAGAAUCUGAAGUGUCAGCCCACUGGAAGAAGCAAAAGCAUUUAGGGAAGUAGUUGCAUGGGGUCUGGGAUUCUGGGGUCCAGUUACAAGCAAACAAAGUGGGAAGAAUUCAAAGAAUUGCCUGAGUAAUUGCGGCUAAUGGACAAGGCAGGGUGUCAGGGACCCGACCAAGAGAGCUGGAGUUGGUUUUGUGGCUGCAGUCCAAGCAGAGGAAACCAGAAGAUGAGCGCCACUGCACAGACUAGGCAGAUGGUGGGAGAGGGGAAGAGAAAGCCACUAACAGUCACCGUCAUCGACCCCGAGACGUUGUACUUCAGUAGUGGGGUUGGGUGCCUUACACUUUUAGGCUGCAUCAGGGAUUCCUCAAAGAGGAUACAGUGCUAAACCUGCAGUUAUCAGGACAGGCAGCAGAAUCUUGCCCAUAAAGAGGGAAUAAGAAUGCAUACCUAUCUUAUAACAGUGUUGAGAUGAUUCAGUCAAUGGUGUAGAUAAAAUGUGUAGCCUGGUACUUUAUGCAAUCAUGGAGAACAACUCAAGCUCUCUGGAAUAUGAUCCUACCUUGAAUAUAGUAAGAAGAAAAGGAGUUUAAAUUCUCCUGGUAGGAGGGAUGCAAAUUCAUUCAAACGAAAUAAGGCAGUAGGAAGGAACAACUAAUUUGGCUUUUAGAAGUAAAUCAUCAAUGCAAUGCAAAGAUGCUGUUUAUGUGCUUGGCUUAUUGAUUUAAUAAGUUCCUUGGUAAACUUUUUUUCUGCUCAGUUAGCAGUUGGUUAGUUUUCCUUUGUAGUAAUAGUAAUAGUUUAAAUGUUCCUUGCAGUAAUGACUGUCAUUGCUAUAUUUUAUUUUCUAAGUUGAUUUUGUACUCUAAUAUCACUCUGCUAUGUUUUCCUGUGUUGUAGGAAAUUAUUUUUA
rnacentral:lncRNA from 1 species